UACGGAGGGUGCAAGCGUUGUUCGGAAUUAUUGGGCGUAAAGGGCGCGUAGGCGGUAAUGCUAGUCAGAUGUGAAAUACUCCGGCUCAACCGGGGAACUGCAUCUGAAACUGCAUAACUAGAGUACAGAAGAGGGAAGCGGAAUUCCCGGUGUAGAGGUGAAAUUCGUAGAUAUCGGGAGGAACACCAGUGGCGAAGGCGGUUUCCUGGUCUGAUACUGACGCUGAGGCGCGAAAGUGUGGGGAGCAAACAGGAUUAGAUACCCGUGUAGU
rnacentral:rRNA from 1 species